rnacentral:piRNA from 1 species
UGAUAGAUUGUCCACUACGCAGUGAAA